UAGUCAGAACUCCCCGCACCGGGCUUA
rnacentral:piRNA from 1 species